GCCGCAAGGUGGCUUAGUGGUUAGCACGUGGCUUAGUGGUUAGCACGACGUCCGGGGUUCGAUUCCCGCCGGGGCC